rnacentral:rRNA from 1 species
AGCGAACGCUGGCGGCAGGCUUAACACAUGCAAGUCGAGGGGCCGUAGCAAUACGGCACCGGCAGACGGGAGAGUAACACGUGGGAACGUGCCCAUCAGUUCGGAACAACCCAGGGAAACUUGGGCUAAUACCGGAUACGCCCUUACGGGGAAAGAUUUAUCGCUGAUGGAGCGGCCCGCGUCUGAUUAGCUAGUUGGUGAGGUAACGGCUCACCAAGGCGACGAUCAGUAGCUGGUCUGAGAGGAUGAUCAGCCUCACUGGGACUGAGACACGGCCCAGACUCCUACGGGAGGCAGCAGUGGGGAAUAUUGGACAAUGGGCGCAAGCCUGAUCCAGCCAUGCCGCGUGGAUGAUGAAGGCCUUAGGGUUGUAAAGUCCUUUCGGCGGGGAAGAUAAUGACGGUACCCGCAGAAGAAGCCCCGGCUAACUUCGUGCCAGCCGCCGCCGUAACAC